CAUAAAAGUUGCCCAUCCCUGGCCUAGAUAUUCUAUUACAAAACCUCAGUAAAUGUACCAGGAGCUGGCGAGUCAGCACUGUGAGUCUAGACAAUGAGAACCUGGUGAGAAGCUUUAUAUCUCAAAAACAAGGUGGGAGGAAGUUGAAUAGAAUAACUUUAUUUAAUCAAUUAAGCUGUGUCAUUUGGAUUAGGUAAUAAAUACAUACACCAAACAGCACAAUGUAGACAGACGGUGGAUUUAAGUGAAUGUUAGAUCUUGUUCGAUUUUAGAACAAUCUUUCCCGGCUGUUCUUUUACAUUACAGUUCACCAUAUUUGAGGCUCAUGCUAAGUGCAAGAACAUCCUGUCAUGGGUGAAGAAGGCCUCUUCAACUGAGGUGGUCCCUGCCCUUGAUCUCAGCAUGGAUAGGGAUUUGCCCUGGACACCAUCAUCAUCAUCAUCAUCAACUUCCUCCUCCUGGUCUUCAGUCGUAAUCAAUGUAGCAGAUCUGGGAGCGGCCUCCACAUGCCGCAGCAUCAGAUUCAGCCUUGGGCCAAGUCAUGGGCCAAGCGAGGUCGCCAACCCUAGAACUGGUGCCAGCACACGGAACCCAACUCCCUUCCCCUCCCCCAUUUUCUCAGAGGAGUCUUUGGGAAAUGAGGAAGAGGAUGACAACCUAAGAAAAUAUUGCACCGCAUCUGAGGACAGAGAUAGAGAGGAUUGGGACAGACCCCGCUCAGACCCCCUGAGGUCUGUGUUUGGACUGUCUCACAGCUUUAUCUUCAGUCAGGUUCACAGAGACGCCCACAGGUCCCUGAGUGAGGUCAUACUGCCGUCCAUCCAGAGGAGACCGAAGAAGAUGAGGCCUAUUAUUCUGUCUGCGGACACCAGGCUGAUCAUGGCCAUUGUGGAGAUCAUCAUCAAGCAGAUAAAUGCAAGUCUAGCCCAGAUUGUGCUGAAAGGAUGUGCCAGUCAGGGAGCCGAAGCUCCUUCGACCAGCAUCAGCUCACUGAGCAGUCAAUUUGCUGAGCAGAUGCUGAGGAUAAUCACAACCACAAUGAAUGGCCAUAUUAUGGGACAGAUGGCACUCACUCGGCUGUCUGGAAAGUCCCCCCUGGAGAUCGAGAGCAGGCUUGAGACAGAGCUAGGGCCACUGGCAGGUCAGGUCAUUGUUGCAACCAUCAGCAGCAUCCAGAGGGCGAAGAGCGAUGCUCAGACAGGACAUGAGGUUCGGGUGUCCUCACCUUGCACCUACUUCCUGUCAGCUGUGUCGGCUGAGGUGCAGAGUCUGGUGGUCCAGAGAUCAGGGACCAGGAUGUCAGCCAGACAGUCAGGCAGCAACCACCUGCUGAACCUGUCUCAGGCGAAGAUCACCAGGGCCGUCGAGUUGAAAAUGGCUGAAAUGUACGGCGGAUCCCUGUGGGAUUGGUCCCUGACAGAACAGAAUAUCCAGCCAGGUCAUGACAGAAUCACUGCCAUGUCCAGUGAUUUGGUGGAUUUGGUGCUCGAUGAUACCCUGGAUGCCCUUGGAUAUCUAGAGAACCAGGCAUUAUCCGGGCCCCAGAGCGUUGGCUACCGGAACGGGAUUGAAGGCCUCGACAUUGAUGGUGUGGCAAGGGACAUGGUCCGGAAAGCUGCAGUCAAACUCAAGGCAUCCAUGUCUGAGCUUGAACUGGAGGUGGGAUCCAGAUCCUCACAGGGCAGCAGUGGUCCCUCGAACCACUCACCUCUGUCUCGCUCCCACUCCGACCCGAGGAUGCUCUGUGUCUGGUCAGCAGCGGGAGUCAGAACUGUCCUGCAAGUGUUAAAAACAGAGCUUGACAGCAACUCAGAUGAGUCCUUUGAUCCGCUCCAGAUGGCUAGAAACCUUCUAGCACGUCUAGCGUCGGGUGUCAAGAGCAUCGACAAUCUGGAAAUUGGUAAGAUGCUCCAGGGCACCUCAGCAAUCAUGGAGCCGGAGGCUGUGAGAGAAUACCCAGAAAUAUCUUCCACUGCCAUCUACCACUCCCUGCUCAUUGAUUGUCCUUUCCCACCAUCAGAGAGGGUUCAGGAAACAAUUAUCCUAAGCCAUCCACUCACUGCACAGGACGUGACCACACAGAGGAAAAAGCAGCAUUCUGCUGACCUUCAGACCGACAGCCUAAUGGCAGAAUACCCUGCCAAGGCACAACGGGUAGUGACUCAGGUCAUAAGAGAUUCUCCUUUAACCGUGGACAUCCUGUCAGCCCACGUCUCCUCAAAGAACAUUGCUGAGGCAUCAACUCACGUUCUUGAGUCCCUUCUAGUGGACUUAAACGAGGCAGUUGAGGUGAGUAGGGCAGAGCGGAGCAAGUUCUGGGAACAGGUCCAGUUAUCCUCCCAGAAACUUUACAGCACAGCUGUGGACAAGCUGAAGAGUUUGUACACUGGUUGCCUCCUCAACAACGAGCGAGACCACCAGGAUACCCAUGUAACCGCUGACAAAAUCCAGGACAUGGAAGUGUCUACCAACAAUGACCUCAAAGACCCAACAGUUGCAGUCAGCCAGGAGUUAGUCCGACACAGCGCAAAGAAGAUCCUCACAAAGGUUCUGAAUGUGAUCAAAGCCGGAGUAGCUGGCUCAGAGCACUCAUCUGUGGGCGAGCAGAUGACCGAAGAGUGCCAAGUUGCCACAGAGAUGUUGGACUCCAUUCUGAACAGACUAGAAGAUGAUGAGCCUGAUGUGGGUGAAGAGGAUCAUCUUCAUGUGAUGUCUGUCCGUGACAUCUACGAGGAUGUCUCAUCUAAAACCUCUCAGGUUUGUAUGGUGAUGAGUAGCCAGGCGAUGGACGCGUUGACCGAUGAUGUGUCUGCCGCAACCUAUGUGCAUGAUAUUGUGUACAGGUCAGAGAGUUGUCUCUCUCAGGCCACAAGUACCCACAGGUCAGGCACUAGCCAGGCCUCCAGUGACCUUGUUGUUGAGUACAUGUCUGAGCUCCAUGCCAACUGCCUUGACACCGCAUUGCCUGUGAGGUGCACUUCUACAGCUGUUGGCGAUACAGAGACUUGUCAUGUCCCCUCUGCCAGAGUGAAGAAGAAGAGUCAGGGCCGGAGGUUCAGUUGCUGCCCAAAGUUGCCAACGGUCAGGAUCAAGGUGUUCAAGGGCAGAGUGGAACCAGAGAGCCACCCCGCUCAAAAGGAGCUGCCUUCGCAGCGUUUCAGCACCUCUCGAGUUGCGCUGUAUGAUGAUCAUGCUGUCCCAAUCAUUCCCCAACUUGAGGACGACCUGCCACCAGCACCUGCACAGGAGUCCCGUAAACGUCCCCUGUUUGUGAGAAUGUUCCGGGCCAUUUCCAGGGCCAUCUCAAAGCCAUUCAAGGGCUGUGCUUUUUGCAAGAAGAAUUAG
ensembl:lncRNA